GCUGAAUAAUCUCUUUAACUGAUUAACUGAAGUUAAUUCUCACUGGCCAGCAAAAAGUUCGGUGAAAUUAGCCUCAGGAGAAACUAAGAUGGCAAAGGCUAUUUUGUGGGAGGUAAGAGAAGAGGGAGAAACAGAGACAAGAGACAGUAGGGGGGAAUGGCUAAGAAUGGUCCGUCUGGGCAUUGUUGGUGAAACGGCUUAGCGGUUGUGGAGUCACUAGAGCCACACGUUGUAUGUGAAGUCAUCAAAGCGGACAUCAGGGAGCCCUGGAGUUGGUCCCUCAUCCCCAGGAAAGGAGGACACUGGCUUUCCGCCAGCCUCAGCAGGUCCACCCUCAGACAAGGCUCCCCAUAGGCUCCUCCUCAGGCUGUCCUGCUGUGAACAUUGACCCCACAAUCUGCACAACCUGUGUAGAAUCACUUCCAAGUUGACCAAGACUUGCUAAAUUAUCUCAUGAAGGACAACAAAGGCACAACUUAAAAAUGGAAAAAGGUGAAUAUAAAGUAAACCCAAAACUCCUACUCUACCUAUCAUUAAAAAGUAAUGUCCCAACCCAAACAAGCUUGGAGUCAAGGGCCAGCUCCUACCAAACUUCAAAUAUUGGUGUUUAAUAAUACGUGUCAUUUAAGAACAAUGACAAAAGAUGAACACAAGCAUCUUAAAAGCUGACUAGCAAAAGGCCAAAGAAGGAAAUGGGGAAGAAAAAGGAUAUAUUUUCCUUUUAUCAGAAACUUAGAUUAGGCCUAAACUCAACUGGACCGACUGUGAUCACCUCCUCACCUGCACAGGUGAAGCCUGGGACAGAUGGUCACUGUGGGUCCAGGUCAUGGACUAUGAGAAUAUGAGAUGGGAAACAUUUAUCUGCAACCGUAGCCAGCAUAGUUGGGGCAGGAUUACCCAGAGACGAUGGCGAGCAUCAGGUGAAGCAGAUGGAGAUGUGGGCAGUUGUUGCUUCCUUACAGAGCUGGUCUCUGUCAUUUGCACAUUUGUCCCCAGCCCUGGGUCCUGGCAAGAAGCCUGGACAAGGAAGCUCUCUAUGGGUGCUCGAGAGCCACUGGCAGACGCACGUGCAGUCAGGCAAGAAAGCCACAUGCCCAGGCCGCAGCGGCCCUGCCAGUAAGCACUGAGCACCCAGGCAGAUGGGAGAACCAAGCUGCAAGCCUUUCCUAGUCUCCCUAUGAUGAAUGAAUGACUGUCCUCGUGGGACCACUUCGCAGCAGAGCUAGCAAGAGCCGCGGCACGGAUCCUGCCUACACACCUGUGCUCCCGAGCCCUGCAGAGCUUUGGGUCUUCUCACUAGCGGAGUGAGGAUGAGGGUGUGCUGACCACAGCAAGGUUGUGUGUGUGUCUCCAUGGAGGUGCGCAGAGCAGAAACGCUGCCCCUCGCACUGCCACGGUGGUAAGGAGAGGAAAUAAAAC
rnacentral:lncRNA from 1 species